UACGGAGGGGGUUAGCGUUGUUCGGAAUUACUGGGCGUAAAGCGCGCGUAGGCGGAUUGGAAAGUUGGGGGUGAAAUCCCGGGGCUCAACCCCGGAAUUGCCUUCAAAACUCCCAGUCUUGAGGUCGAGAGAGGUGAGUGGAAUUCCGAGUGUAGAGGUGAAAUUCGUAGAUAUUCGGAGGAACACCAGUGGCGAAGGCGGCUCACUGGCUCGAUACUGACGCUGAGGUGCGAAAGCGUGGGGAGCAAACAGG
rnacentral:rRNA from 2 species